UAGCCGUAAACGAUACUCGCUAGGUGUCGGCCACGGUGCGACCGUUGUCGGUGCCGUAGGGAAGCCGUGAAGCGAGCCACCUGGGAAGUACGGCCGCAAGGCUGAAACUUAAAGGAAUUGGCGGGGGAGCACCACAACGGGUGGAGCUUGCGGUUUAAUUGGAUUCAACGCCGGAAAUCUCACCGGGAGCGACAGCAGUGUGAUAGCCAGAUUAAAGGUCUUGCUAGACGAGCUGAGAGGAGGUGCAUGGCGUAGUCGUGU
rnacentral:rRNA from 1 species